UACGGGGGGGGCAAGCGUUGUUCGGAAUUACUGGGCGUAAAGGGCUCGUAGGCGGCCAACUAAGUCGGAUGUGAAAUCCCCAGGCUUAACCUGGGAACUGCAUCCGAUACUGGAUGGCUUGAAUCCGGGAGAGGGAUGCAGAAUUCCGGGUGUAGCGGUGAAAUGCGUAGAUAUCUGGAGGAAUACCGGUGGCGAAGGCGGCAUCCUGGACCGGCAUUGACGCUGAGGAGCGAAAGCUAGGGGAGCAAACGGG
rnacentral:rRNA from 1 species